rnacentral:rRNA from 1 species
GGGGAAUCUUCCGCAAUGGGCGCAAGCCUGACGGAGCAAGACCGCGUGGGGGAGGACGGUUUGUGGAUUGUAAACCCCUUUUCUCAGGGAAGAAGGACUGACGGUACCUGAGGAAUCAGCAUCGGCUAACUCCGUGCCAGCAGCCGCGGUAAUACGGAGGAUGCAAGCGUUAUCCGGAAUUAUUGGGCGUAAAGCGUCCGUAGGUGGUUCAUCAAGUCAGUUGUUAAAGCGUGGGGCUCAACCCCAUAAAGGCGAUUGAAACUGGUGGACUAGAGUUUGGUAGGGGUCAGGGGAAUUCCCAGUGUAGCGGUGAAAUGCGUAGAUAUUGGGAAGAACACCGGUGGCGAAAGCGCCUGACUGGGCCUGAACUGACACUGAGGGACGAAAGCUAGGGGAGCGAAAGGGAUUAGAUACCCCAGUAGUC